ACGCACAAAGGAAAAUUCACGUUUCAUCUAACUGCCUCAUUUAUCAUUUAUCAUCUGUAUAUCCCGAUUCUCCAAUUUUUGUUCAUGUAUGAACUUCCAAUGGUUCACAAGAGACUUAAUCGACAGAAACUGCCCCAUUUACCAUCUGUAUCCGGCUUCUCAAAUUUCCUUUCAUGUUUGAACUUUUAUAUUGUUGCAGCGAUUUACGGAGACUUAUUCGAUAGAAAUAGCCUUCAAUCUCAAACUAAAAAGAGUUUGACACGAAGAUAUGUGGGAUAGGCAAAGCUGAGUUUUCAAGCUCACGUCGUCAUUCCUUCUUUAGAGGUCAGUUUCAAACUCAAAUUGUUGCAUACGUCUAUCCUAUUUUCUGAAAAACGAAUCUCACCAAGCACCAUUAUGGGCUAUGACGUGAGAUGGAGAAUGAGAUCAACUGACAAUUGAUAUGGUAAUUGAGAAACGAAUUGGUAUAUCUUUGAGUGCUCUGCCUUUUCAUGUGCAGACUUCUGUAGAUUUUUAUGUCCCUAAAAGUACUUAUGUAUUUGCUGAACAUAUAGUUUGCAAUUUGUUAGCAUGAAAUUGCGGCUAGACCGAGAAGCCUUUUUUGUGACCAUGAUGACACAACCGUCCUAAUCCAGAAACCGGGAAUGCAAGUGAUGGUCUUCAAAAUCUGUGUUAUGGUAAUUGCUGAUUUUUUUUUAAUCAUUUUCGUAAUUCUUGCGUAUAUUUUGCAGAAAAUGAGAUCACUAGACAGCCAAAUGAGGCAUUUGGUGUAUCUGAUAGACAAUGUCAUUCUUAAUCUUCCACAUGGCCAAGAGCAAAUGCCAUGGUUGAUAGACUACACAGGAUGGUCUUUAACGAAUAAUGUUCCCCUCAAAUAUUAUUGGUUAGUGAGGUUUUCAUUUGUUUUGCUUGGUUGGUUGAGACAAAUCGUUAAAAUCAAAACUCCCGAUAAAGUGAUAUAUAUCUGCAGUAUUUAAUCCCACUAAUUCAUGUGUAACAAAAAACAGUCUGCUCACACAGUUAGUUGGAUAUUCUUUAUGUAAUUAAAGGUAUGUGGUCCUUUAGUUACUCCCUAUUUAAGAAGCGUCAUGAAGCUUUUGCUCACAAUAUAAUAUUGCAGGUGCUAAUGUGGUUUUUGAAAAAAUGAACGACACUUAGAGCUAGCACUUCGUAGAGUGUCGACAACUUUUCAUUCUCUUCUUUUGCCUUGAAGAUAAGUAAUCUUCAGAAUUAUUGUCAUCAUCUUUUGUGUUUCUUUAAAACAAUCCACAUUCUACACAACUUUUUUACUUUCUCAUCAUGCCUCUUCUCUUUAUCAUUAGUAUAUAUCUAUGCUUCUAAUAUGUAACCCACUAAUUUUUCAUAUGAAUUGCUAAAAGUUGAUAUGAAAAAUAAGUUCAUGCUUCUCCUAAAUAUUUGUUUCAUGUGAAAUCUUUGCAUAUUAAUAAUACAUUUUAUAUUUUAUUGCAGAUAUCAAAUCUCUCAAUGUCUUCAGAUUCGAGAAAAACGCAUAGCAAAGUGUAUUCUCCACUUUUCAGGUGUUGAAUUUGAUGCUCAAAAUGGUUUCAAAGUUCUUUUGAAUAUCAAUAUAAUUGGCUUAUCUUGAUGAAGCACAAGGCAGAAGAAGGUAAAUCAUGGAGAAAAAGGAACACCAGUGGUUGAGGUAAGGAGAAAAAGGAACAACAGCAUAAACUGAGAAUGAUUUCAAGCAUUCAAAAUUCAAAUAUCUCAUUGGUUUACAUUGCAUAUGAUGCAAGUCGCUUUUACGGGAGCUAAUGGCUAUGGCUAUAGCUUCAAGAAUGCUUACAAUUAAAUAUGUUAAAGAAGUCAAAGAUGAAAAGAAGAAAUGAGCAUAAUCAAAGGCCAUACAUCAUGAAAAAGAUGCGUACUUUGACCAAGGAUUGCAGUAAGGUGGAUUUUUUUCCCCUCUGAAACGAUAAAUACACCCAUUAUAUCCACCUAAUAGCUUAAUGUUAGAAAUUACCAGAAGUACCACCAUUAGAUUAGAAAAAAGUUCACGGCUUCUAAAACAACAAAUAGUAGUGGAUUGCAACAUCUACUCCCAUGAUGCUAAUUUUGGUACCCACGGAAUGCACGGCAUUAUCAAAUUAUAUAUUAAUUCAGUCAACUUAUGUUUUCGCUUUUUACAAGGAAGUUUCUAUUAGGAAGCUUAUCAUGUAUUAGCUAACUUUCUCUUUUAUUUCCUUUAGCCUGAUGCUUCUAUAUUGCAUUAUUGAAUUAGUAAAAAUGGGUCAUUAUAAGAGUGUUUCGAAAGCACUGCAGUUAUCAUCUUUUGUAUUUUAACAAGUUUUCUUAAAUAAUUAAAAGGUUAGAUUUACUAAGAUCACUUUACUUAAGCUACUUGGUCAGUAAGUAAUGGAUUAAAUAUCACAGUAAAAAUUACAGAUGUAUCUAGCUUCCUCAAGCUACUAUAAAAAUUUCUUUCUAAGUUGUAUUGUUCAGAGUAACGCUUUGCACGAUGCCAUAAAGAAGAUUUCAGAAAUUAAUACAAGAAGUUGGAUCAUAAAUUUAUUUGAUUGGAUAGU